rnacentral:rRNA from 1 species
GGCUGGGUGUGUAAGCGUAGCGAUACGUUGAGCUAACCAGUACUAAUGACCCGAGAGGCUUAACCUUACAACACCGAAGGUGUUU